GUGCCACCUUUCCCCUGGAACAGAUGCGUGCCUUUGAGGGAAAACUCUCGCAGCACCUGGUCACAGUCUGUGAUCUGUCACAGAGCACAGUGAUCUGAAGAGGACAGAGGACGACAUUUGAUGAUAAAGUUGGAACAAACAGCAGAACAGAAGCAUCAAAACUUAGAGCUAAGCCAUUAAAAUCAUGGUGGUAGUAAUUUUAUGGCAGUAAUGGCAAUGUUUCUACCUUUAUAUUCAAAUUUAACCUAUUGUUAGUGGCUCUGGAACGUUGCUGCGUCUCUGCAGCCUUGUUAACGUCACCCGUGGCCGGGAUAGUGGCUGAAAUAAUGUUUGUGUUACACUCAGCUCGAUGCUACAAGGGAGAGAGGAGACGCACUGCUGCCGACAUCCAUAUUCAAUCCCUCUGAAGGUGUGACUUAGACCCUACAGCCUACCUGCAUCACUGUUGCUGCAGAUGGGCGGCAGGGACCAUCACCGGUGCACGGUUGAUGCACACCCCCAUGUGUCAGGAUUGCCCCGCAGGCUCACAAGUUCAGACAGCUCGAGAAUUUCCACAGCAGCUCAAAGCAUCUGGCAGCCAACUGGAAACACAUCCAGUCCUCCUAGAGGACCAUUAUCCACAUCCCUUCAUUAGGCUGAAGACACCUUUGCUGCAGUAAUGUGGAAGGAGGAGGUUCUUCAGGAGUGCAGAGGCUGGUGACGGUCCUGGUCCAGGAGACAUUAACUCCCUAAAUCAGGUCAGGGAUCUGAACCCGGUUAAGCUUUCACUGAAAGUUGUAUUUUGAAUUGAAGGCCUGCAGGACUUUAGUUUUCCUGGCACAGCGAUGCAGAGGUUAGCCGCUAGUCUGGGCUUCGCCUCACAAUAUCUUCUUUUUUUACAGGCACUGUUGGACUGUUAAUAAUAAGUAAGUUGGAGUUUAGCAUUCACAAUAUAAUAAGUAACAUCUCCAGGCAACAUGUUCUGUCAAGGGUCACUGUGAGGUCAAACUGCUGUGAUCAUUUAGUUUAGGUUUGUGUGGCUGAACACAAGAAUCACAGCUCUGCUCCCAGACGUGUAGUAUUUUGGAGCGUUGUCGCCACAACCCACAGCAUCUAAUCAAUAUCGAAAUGAUCUUUUUAACCAUGCAACUAUUUUCAAUUUGCAAAGACUCACAGGAUGACAAGUUUCGGUGGGCAGUGACGCAGAAAAGAUUACAUUAGAAGCAAAGUGGACUUAGUUAUUUAUUUGUUUCCAUGCACUGUGCUCCAUGGGAACCCAUGUCUGCAUUAUUUCAGAGCUUCACAGCCAAAUUUAUGAUCUAGCAAAGUAAUCAUCAUAAAUAUUUUAUUACUUUUUCUAAAGAAUCACAAAGGCUAUUUAAAAUAUAUAAGAAUAUAUUAUAUGCCAUCACAGUUCGGCAUCUUUUACCAAGGCUUUAAUAUGUACCAGCGUCUGAGCCUCUGGCUUCUCAUAUGCUCACAGAGUAGCCUUUGAUUUCCUGUCAUGUGUUAAUUACUGCAUUUUGCUAUCUAACUGGGGAGCUUUGUGUAAACUAAUUACCAACUGAUGAUUGUGGGCUUGGAGGAGAAGAAUUUUAGUUUUUAUUCAGUUUGAGAGAAUCAGCCAUCUCAGGCGUCUUUGUGCUUUGUUGUUCCUGUUAGCUGACUCUUUGAUUACGGGCGGCGCGCGGCUGUAAUUGUUGCAGCGACGCUGCUGUUAAUUAUGGGAGAGAAUGGCUGAGCCUCAGCCAACGUCCAUAAUGGUGGCUGGGGUAGCACAGAGAGUAAAUGGAGUUUGCUUCACCAGCUGGGGUCCCAUGGAGAGGGAAGAGUGCCGAGGCCCCCAGUGCAGGCUGACAGCCUCGGGGCUUCUGGGCCAUAUGGACACAACACUUUAACUGGCCUUUAUUUUACACCUUACUCUUUUAAUCAAAGCACAGGCCA
rnacentral:lncRNA from 1 species